rnacentral:tRNA from 1 species
ACCUAUAUAUCUAAGUUUAAGGGCUGGGUUCUUAUUUCAGUAAUGUGGUUAACACUGUAGGUA